GGGGGUAGUUUUUAGUACGUAAGCGCCAUGGAUGGCGAAUCGCGCAUGCUGCUACUAAGAACCAGCAGUAUCUUUUGAAGAUUUUCUACCUCC
rfam:Glossina pallidipes unplaced genomic scaffold Scaffold274, whole genome shotgun sequence.